AUGCUCUUGAGACAUACAGGGUCUCAUUUGGUAAGAGAAAACAACACACACAGACAUUUACAUACAGACACUCAUUCUGCAUGCCUCAUCAAGUACAGUACUCUCAUUUCACAGGUGAGACCCAGGUACAGUACUCUCAUUUCACAGGUGAGACCCAGGUACAGUACUCUCAUUUCACAGGUGAGACCCAGGUACAGUACUCUCAUUCUACAGGUGAGACCCAGGUACAGUACUCUCAUUCUACCAGGUGAGGACCCAGGUACAGUAAUUCUCAUUCUACAGGUGAGACCCAGGUACCAUACUCUCCUUCUACAGGUGAGACCCAGUACGUACACUCUCAUUCUACAGGUGAGACCCAGGUACAGUACUCUCAUUCUACAGGUUGAGACCCAGGUAGACCGGUUACACUCUCAUUCUACAGGUGAGACCCAGGUACAGUACUCUCAUUCUACAGGUGAGACCCAGGUACAGUACACUCUCAUUCUACAGGUGAGACCCAGGUACAAUACUCUCAUUCUACAGGUGAGACCCAGGUACAGUAUUCAUUCUA
rnacentral:lncRNA from 1 species